UACUGGUUAGGAAAUCAUCUUCAAUACAAACAUUGGGCAGAAAAACCAGAUGAUCACUAAUAUGAAGGAAACUGAAUUGUCAGUGUGGGGCAGGAUUUUCCUAAACUAGUAUAACUGAGUGGUCACUCAGAUGGGCCAGCAUAGACUUAAUUAUCUGGAAUGUGAACUUUACAGAUAUUUAUAGAUAUGAUACAGGCAACACUUGGGAGAUCAGCUAGAAGAUUUACAUAAGGCAGAGGGAAGGAAUUUGGGCUUCCUCAUUUGAAGUCUGGAGAACUCUUGCACAUCAAGGAGGAAGCCCAGCUGCAUCUCACAUGACUUAGAAUAUUUUUCUUAUAUACACCAGCUGCCUCGGACUUUGUGUUCGAAAGCCACAUGGAGAAAUACAACUAAGGGAUCAUGCCAAGGUUGAAAGGGCCUCAAAGCUACUCCAUUUUCAGAGACCCUACCUUUGCUCCUUAAUGUCACCAAGUGAGUCUUCUACUAACCAAACCAACAGGGCUUUUUCCUUUCCCAUUCUGAAAUGUCAGGAAAUCUCUCCUAAGUUAUCAGAAAAGAAGUGUUCUCUAGUGAGAGAAACUUGCUUCAUUGAAUAGCAAGCUAUUCUGGAAGAAGAGAAAAGGCAAGGAGCCAACCAAGCAUCCACCUCCAUUAUUGAGUAACAAGCUAUGUAUGCUUUGAUGGUUAAAAUCCAGUGACAAGAGAGGUACCUGUCAUCUUGAGAUUUCAAAGACAACUGAAGCUAUUUACACUGUACCACACGACUAAGGAGCCCCCAGCACAUGUGGACACAUACCAUGGAUGUGUUAUUAUUCUGAUUUUGAUCAGAACACGGAUUAAAAAGGGAUGUUCCCUUUGUACCAGAUAAAUUUUCAAAUUCCCAUUUAAAAAUUUAGUCUUUGAUGGCUUCAUCCGGGAUUUAAAAAUGGAACAAAAGAAUCUGGGAACAGUUGACACUUUGAAAAUCUUCCUUAACCUUCCGAGGGGACUUUAAGCAACUCUAAGAAAACCCUCAGUGAAUGUCACUGACUUUCAGAGCUCACGCUGUGAUGUCCAGUGGACGCGCAGCAGCCCACUCUAUCAAUGCAGUACAACUUAUUCGCUACCAACAGGCAGAGGAGUUGCUUCUGAUUUGGGGCUACCAUGGUAAAACCACAGUAAACAUCCUUAUGCAUCCCCUCUGAUAGACAUGCGUGUUAAUUCCUCUUCCAUUUUCUUGGUGUGGCGUCACAUGUGUGGGUACAAAUGUGUUUAACUUCACUGGCCAUCACCUGGCCAAAGUGGUUGAAUCUAUUUAUAAAUCCACUAGCCUGGAUCUAGUCCGGUCCUCCAUAGACAUGCCAAAUACUGGAUCUUGUCAGGUUUUUUAUUUCAGCUAUGCUAUGGGUACGCAGUAGUAUUUCACUACAUUUUAGUAUUCAUCUUCCAGAUGGCUAACUAUGUUAAGCAUCUUUGUAGAUGUUUGCUAGCCAUCUUGAAAUCCUCUUUGGUGAUAUAAACUGAAAAAAAAUCAUUGAGCUAUAUUUGAAAUUUCUUUUUUCUUAUUAUUUGUUGUCUAUCCUGAAA